GACCCCACGAAGCUGGAUUCGCUAGUAAUCGCGCAUCAGCCAUGGCGCGGUGAAUACGUUCCCGGGCCCUGUACACACCGCCCGUCAAGCCAUGAAAGCCGGGGGCGCCUGAAGUCCGUGACCGCGAGGGUCGGCCUAGGGUGAAACCGGUGAUUGGGGCUAAGUCGUAACAAGGUAUC
rnacentral:rRNA from 1 species